rnacentral:rRNA from 1 species
CCUACGGGAGGCUGCAGUGAGGAAUAUUGGUCAAUGGGCGGGAGCCUGAGCCAGCCAAGCCGCGUGAGGGAAGAAGGUACAGCGUAUCGUAAACCUCUUUUGUCAGGGAACAAAGGCGGGCACUAGUCCCCGUAUGAGGGUACCUGAAGAAAAAGCAUCGGCUAACUCCGUGCCAGUAGACGCGGUAAUACGGAGGAUGAGAGCGUUAUCCGGAUUUAUUGGGUUAAAAGGGUGCGCAGGCGGCCUGAUAAGUCAGCGGUAAAAGCCCGGGGCUCAACCCCGGCCAGCCGUUGAAACUGGGGGGCUGGAGUUGGCGAGAAGUACGCGGAAUGCGCGGUGUAGCGGUGAAAUGCUUAGAUAUCGCGCAGAACCCCGAUUGCGAAGGCAGCAUACCGGCUCCCAACUGACGCUGAAGCACGAAAGCGUGGGUAUCGAACAGGAUUAGAUACCCUUGUAGUC